CGAGAAACAACUUCAAGUGUGGAAACUUGAUUUUGGGAAUAGGGCUGCAGAUUAUGGGCAUGUUGUUUCCAUGAAACAUCCUCCUGUAAUGGUUGAAUGCAGGAAUAAGUGCAAGGGAGAAGAUGGUAUGGUUGUCCUUGCAACAUCAGAGAAAGGUGUUUGUUAUGUUUGGAACUUUGAGUCCGUUACUGAUGAAGCUGCAAAGCCAAUUAAGAUCUCAGUAAAACCCAGCAAAGGGGAAACAGAUGGAAAAGCUAGAAAGAAUCUUUUGCCCGUAAUCGCUGCAAGAUUGCAUGCUUUAGAUAGAGAUGCACAUUUAAGAGCCUUGAUUGCUUAUGGUUCUGUUGAAUCCCCAGAGUUUACAUCAGUAGGCAUUUCAAAUCCAGGGGAGGAUAUCGUCAUAGCAGCAGGGGACCAGACCGAAAAAGCGGUUGCUUCAGUUCAAGAAAACGGCCAUGCCAAAAAAGGUGGAGAUAUGGAAGUUGAAGGUGCUAACUUAAUCCAGAGAAGCAAAGUGACAAACAAACGACCAGCAUCUGAUCUGGAUGUUACUGGUGAAGCGACUAUUACAGAUAAUGGUAAUGGUGAACCUAUUGACGGAGUUCAGAUUGAUGAUUUUAGCGAGCCAACCAUGGGCGAGAAACUCGCGAUGCUCCAUUUGGAAGACAACAGUGAAGAUAAAAGCAACAAGAAUCUAGAAUUUGCUCUUCAAAAGAAGCCUCCAAGUGCUGAUUCAGUUCAUG
rnacentral:misc_RNA from 1 species